GAUGAACGCUGGCGGCGUGCCUAAUACAUGCAAGUCGAGCGAACGGACGAGAAGCUUGCUUCUCUGAUGUGAGCGGCGGACGGGUGAGUAACACGUGGAUAACCUACCUAUAAGACUGGGAUAACUUCGGGAAACCGGAUCUAAUACCGGAUAAUAUUUUGAACCGCAUGGUUCAAAAGUGAAAGACGGUCUUGCGGUCACUUAUAGAUGGAUCCGCGCUGCAUUAGAUAGUUGUUAAGGUAACGGCUUACCAAGGCAACGAUGCAUAGCAGACCUGAGAGGGUGAUCGGCCACACUGGAACUGAGACACGGUCAAGACUACUACGGGAGGCAGCAGUAGGGAAUCUUACGCAAUGGGCGAAAGCCUGACGGAGCAACGCCGCGUGAGUGAUGAAGGUCUUCGGAUCGUAAAACUCUGUUAUUAGGGAAGAACAUAUGUGUAAGUAACUGUGCACAUCUUGACGGUAACUAAUCAGAAAGCCACGGCUAACUACGUG
rnacentral:rRNA from 1 species